ACGCACGCUGGCGGCAUGCCUAACACAUGCCAGUCGCACGAGACCUUCGGGUCUAGUGGCGCACGGGUGCGUAACGCGUGGGAACCUGCCCUUAGGUUCGGAAUAACUCCCCGAAAGGGGUGCUAAUACCGGAUAAUGUCUUCGGACCAAAGAUUUAUCGCCUUUGGAUGGGCCCGCGUUGGAUUAGCUAGUUGGUAGGGUAAAAGCCUACCAAGGCGACGAUCCAUAGCUGGUCUGAGAGGAUGAUCAGCCACACUGGGACUGAGACACGGCCCAGACUCCUACGGGAGGCAGCAGUGGGGAAUAUUGGACAAUGGGCGAAAGCCUGAUCCAGCAAUGCCGCGUGAGUGAUGAAGGCCUUAGGGUUGUAAAGCUCUUUUACCCGGGAUGAUAAUGACAGUACCGGGAGAAUAAGCGCCGGCUAACUCCGUG
rnacentral:rRNA from 1 species